rnacentral:rRNA from 1 species
UGGGGGAUAUUGCACAAUGGGCGAAAGCCUGAUGCAGCGACGCCGCGUGGGGGAUGAAGGCCUUCGGGUUGUAAACUUCUUUUGCUCUGAACAAGGCAUGCCUUUGGGGUGUGUUGAGUGUAGGGGUUGAUUAGCGCCGGCUAACUACGUGCCAGCAGCCGCGGUAAUACGUAGGGCGCGAGCGUUGUCCGGAAUUAUUGGGCGUAAAGGGCUUGUAGGUGGCUGGUUGCGUCUGUCGUGAAAGCUCAUGGCUUCACUGUGGGUUUGCGGUGGGUACGGGCUGGCUAGAGUGCAGUAGGGGAGGCGUGAAUUCCUGGUGUAGCGGUGGAAUGCGAAGAUAUCAGGAGGAAUACCGGUGGCGAAGUCGGGUCUCUGGGCUAUUACUGACGCUGAGUAGCGAAAGCGUGGGGAGCGAACAGG